CCUACGGGACGCAGCAGUGGGGGAUAUUGGACAAUGGGGGAAACCCUGAUCCAGCGAUGCCGCGUGAGGGAAGGAGGUUUUCGGAUCGUAAACCUCUGUCAGGAGGGAAGAAAGCGCAUGGCGCCAAUCAGCCAUGCGUUGACGGUACCUCCAAAGGAAGCGCCGGCUAACUCCGUGCCAGCAGCCGCGGUAAUACGGAGGGCGCGAGCGUUAAUCGGAAUUACUGGGCGUAAAGCGCGCGUAGGCUGUUGUGUAAGUUGGGGGUGAAAUCCCACGGCUCAACCGUGGAACAGCCCUUGAUACUG
rnacentral:rRNA from 1 species